rnacentral:rRNA from 1 species
AGAGUUUGAUCCUGGCUCAGGAUGAACGCUGGCGGUAUGCUUAACACAUGCAAGUCGAACGGAGUGCUUCGGCACUUAGUGGCGGACGGGUGAGUAACGCGUGAGAAUCUGCCUAUAGGUUCGGGACAACAGCUGGAAACGGCUGCUAAUACCGGAUGUGCCGAGAGGUGAAAGAUUUAUUGCCUAUAGAUGAGCUCGCGUCCGAUUAGCUAGUUGGUGAGGUAAGGGCUCACCAAGGCAUUGAUCGGUAGCUGGUCUGAGAGGAUGAUCAGCCACACUGGGACUGAGACACGGCCCAGACUCCUACGGGAGGCAGCAGUGGGGAAUUUUCCGCAAUGGGCGAAAGCCUGACGGAGCAAUACCGCGUGAGGGAGGAAGGCUUUUGGGUCGUAAACCUCUUUUGUCAGGGAAGAAGAUCUGACGGUACCUGACGAAUCAGCAUCGGCUAACUCCGUGCCAGCAGCCGCGGUAAUACGGAGGAUGCAAGCGUUAUCCGGAAUUAUUGGGCGUAAAGCGUCCGCAGGUGGUUGUUCAAGUCUGCUGUUAAAGCGUGCGGCUUAACCGCAUAAGGGCAGUGGAAACUGGGCGACUAGAGUUUGGUAGGGGUCACGGGAAUUCCCAGUGUAGCGGUGAAAUGCGUAGAUAUUGGGAAGAACACCAGCGGCGAAAGCGCGUGACUGGGCCUGAACUGACACUCAUGGACGAAAGCUAGGGGAGCGAAAGGGAUUAGAUACCCCUGUAGUCCUAGCUGUAAACGAUGACAACUAGGUGUUGCCCGUAUCGACCCGAGCCGUGCCGAAGCAAGGGCGAAUU